GUGCUCAUUUUGGCAGCAUGUAUACUAAAAUGGGAAUGACAAAGAAAAGAUUAGCAUGGCCCCUCAUCAGAAAUGACACACAAAUUAUGAAGUGUUCCGUAUUUUU